rfam:Ruminococcus sp. 37_24 Ley3_66761_scaffold_68, whole genome shotgun sequence.
CAUAGUCUUCAGGGCAGGGUUGAAUUCCCUACCGGCGGUAAAGUCCGCAAGCGUAAAGCGCACGAUUCGGUGAAACUCCGAAACCGACAGUAAAGUCUGGAUGGAAGAAGACAUUU